ensembl:lncRNA
GCCCUGCUGAGGCUGCCAAGGGAUUGAAUAACAGAUGGGAAGAAACAAAGAGCCUGCAAGGAGUAAUCCCAGACACAACUGUCCUCAUGGGAAAAAUAUUCUAUUAUCCAGUGCCAGCGUUUGCCUUUCAGGGAAUGAUAACUCAGUACAAGGUCUUUUUAGCCAGUGGUGCAGAUUUGCCAAAGUGGUUGGAAUUCAACCCUGAAGCAAACACACUGCAAGGGCUGCCGAUGGCAGGGGAGGGAGGAAUGUACCUGCUCAACCUUGCUGCCUCUGGAGGGCUGCCUGCCCAGGAAACACUGAGGGCUGCUGGAAAUUUCACCAUCCACGUGCAGGACAGCAGUUUAUCCUUGGAAAUGCAGAACUUGAAGCACUUGCCAAACAGCUACCAGUGUGGGAAGGAAGCUCCCAUCACUUGUGCAGAAAUCAUUCUCUCUGCUGCAGCAGCAGCCCUGGCAGCUCGGGAGCGCCUGUCCGUGGUGUGCAGGAUGGCUGAGUACCUACACCUGGACAGCUCCCUGCUGACCCUGCUGCAGCACACAGACCCCGCAGCCAGGGGCUGCCACGUCCUGGCUGAGGACACCAGGCACAUCAACCUCACCACAAACAACUACGUGGGGCUCUCCUGGCCCGUCACGUGUGGAGGUUUUGCCCUGCUCCACGAAUUCAUCCAGGUCCUGCAGCACAACAUGGACUCACAUCACCUCUCACGGCUGCUGGGGUAUGAAAUUGCAGGCUGGAGAAUACUCAGGAGAGGGGAGUAUGAAAGAAAGUCUCCAAGACUACACCGCAGGCAAUUAAUGAUCACCCCAACACCUGCAUUAAAACCAACUAGAAUUACCCAGAGACCAGCUGCAGGAGAGACUUCCAGGCCUUUGUUCUUUCCUGUGCCAAGCCAGUUACUCACACCACUUGUGCUAUCACUCAGAUCUACUCAGAGUUUAUCAACUUUCUGUGCAGAAAGUAUAACCAUGGCAAGUUACAAGAUGCAGAAUAUCCACCUUGCAAGUCAAGAAAGCUUGGUCACCUUAGAAAUGGACUCAGCACAGGACAUGCCAACUAACCCCACAGUGUCCAUUAUGUUUGCAGACUCUCAUUUCCCAGAUCUUUCUCCUUCACUGAUGACUGAAACAAGGCUUCUCUUCUCUGAACUGGAAGUGCUGCCUGCUAGAGUUUCUGGUACAUCCUUGCUGUCAGAGCAGCCAGAGCCCCACGUGCCUGAGGCAGAAUCCUAUUUCCUUUCCAGUGAAUCAGAGAUAUCCACAUACCAUCUCCUACAGGAUGUCACUUCAGGCACAGAGCAGCUUUCCAGGUCAUGGGUGAUAAACACUCUUCAGGAGUGGCCUCACAGCUCUGCAGUGGCAUUUUCUCCCAAGACAGAAUUACACCCAUUUUUGCCAGGAGAAAUGUCAGUAUCAGAAGUGCCAGAUUACAGCAAUGAGGUAAAAAAUCACUUUCCAGAGACUGAAAAUAUUUCUGAUGCAUCCCUCUGUCCAGAAGCACUCCCUUCACUACUCCAAGAAGCUUCACUAAGGGCCACAGCUUUGUUUGGCCUCACAUCUCCCAUCGAGGACACAUUCCCAGCUGUCCUAGUGAGCAGCAGUCUGAGCCAAAUGUUCACUAAUGGCUGUGAACCUCAGUCUAAACCUUCUAUGACUAUCUCACAGCCCAGUGGCUUUUCAUUUGCUGGAGGGAAAAGCACAGCUUCUUUUGUGGCCCAGAGAGAAGCACAGACCCUCUAUUCCAAAUUGAUUUUCAGUGCUGAAGUCUCAGACAGCUUUCCUCACACAUUAACCAGCACUGUCCCUGGUAAAGCUGAAGCACCUCAUGAGCCAAGUCUGAUCACUCUGUCCCAUCCUGACACUACUCCAGUUCUUACUGUGCCAGAAGACCUUUCUGCCUUUCACAUGUCCAGAUCAUCCAGACCACCAUUCCCUCCUGCUUACAGCAGCAGCAUGCUCAGAACAGAGCCACAGCCCACAAGGAUUUUACCCAGUGGCACAGAGGAAUUGCUUUCAGACAAAGAUCUGGGAACAAGUGGGAUUUUGACAAGUGUCACCGAGCCUACCUUGGAGUCACACAACAUCUUGGGUAUCAAGCCAGAUGCUGUAGAAGCACCUCUGGUGACUUUGUUUAAUGCCACUUCUCACCUGCCCAGCAGCAUACCAGAGAUGGGUGAGACACUGCUGCCAUCACACCUGGAUCCAAGCACCCAGC